UACGUAGGGUGCAAGCGUUGUCCGGAAUUAUUGGGCGUAAAGAGCUCGUAGGCGGUCUGUCGCGUCGGCUGUGAAAACCCGGAGCUCAACUCCGGGCCUGCAGUCGAUACGGGCAGACUGGAGUUCGGCAGGGGAGACUGGAAUUCCUGGUGUAGCGGUGAAAUGCGCAGAUAUCAAGUGGAACACCAGUGGCGAAGGCGAGUCUCUGGACAUUUCCUGACGCUGAGGCACGAAAGCCAGGGGAGCAAACGGG
rnacentral:rRNA from 1 species